rnacentral:rRNA from 1 species
UGGCGGACGGGUGAGUAAUGUCUGGGAAACUGCCCGAUGGAGGGGGAUAACUACUGGAAACGGUAGCUAAUACCGCAUAACGUCGCAAGACCAAAGAGGGGGACCUUCGGGCCUCUUGCCAUCGGAUGUGCCCAGAUGGGAUUAGCUAGUAGGUGGGGUAACGGCUCACCUAGGCGACGAUCCCUAGCUGGUCUGAGAGGAUGACCAGCCACACUGGAACUGAGACACGGCCCAG